ACGCUGCGUCUGUGCACAGGUUUUUUCUAGUUGUGGCAAGCAAGGGCUACUCUUUGUUAAGGUGCAUGGGCUUCUCAUUGCGAUAGCCUCUCGUUGCGGAGCACAGGCUCUAGGGCACGUGGGCUUCAGCAGUUGCAGCACGUGGGCUCAUCAGUACAUGUACAUGGGCAUAGUUGCUCCAAAGCAUGUGGUAUUUUCCCGGACCAGGGAUUGAACCUGUGUCCCCUGCAUUGGCAGGCAGAUUCUUAACCACUGGACCACCAGGGAAGUCCCUGCCUUGUCCCUGCUAAGCCUUCAGGGAUGUAGACCCCAGACCAGUUGGACCUGAAGAUUGGUGAUGCAGACUCCUUCUUACCUCACCACCACCCCAUCAGAAGAAUGUCCAUGAGAAUCAAUCACUCCCUCUUUGAACAAUUACUAUGAAACUUCUCACAGUCUUUCCCAAGUGGGGACAUAUGCCUUUGAGGACAUGAGCCUGCUGGGUUCCCCUUUGCCUGGCAAAGCAAUAAAGCUAUCCUUUUCUACUUCGCCCCCAAACACUCUAUCUCCGAGAUUUUAUUCAGCACCAGUAUACAGAGAAGCUGAGCUUUUGGCAUCACUUUCAGACUUGACCCUGGCAUCACCUCCCCCAUCAUUCAGUCUUCCCACCUGGGUCGCCCUUGUGCUCUGUGCACACCUUCGAAUAUCUGAGGGGCUGCCUUGUAUUAGGAAUGAGACAGAUGAUGGAAACCCAGAUUGGGAGGUGGUCUUUGGGAUUUCAGAAUCAUUUAGGGAAAAGAGGCAAAAACCCCGGAGCAGAAUAGCAUAAGCAAUCCUGGAAAGUUGGCUGAGCUCCUUGAGGAUAUCAAGUCCCUUCUGCAUGACUCACAGAGAUCUCAGUGGACCUGCCCCUUGCUGCAAACUUAUAUGUAACCUGACCCCUCUCCCCACCUCCUUGGAACAGUUCUCUGAGUCCCCUGAGAUG
ensembl:lncRNA